rnacentral:tRNA from 1 species
GGAGCGCGCUGCGAGAGUGGCUUGCAAUCGGUCUCGAAAACCGAGGGGACCGAAAGGUUCGGGGUUCGAACCCUCAGUGCUCCGCCA